rnacentral:rRNA from 1 species
UACGAAGGGGCUAGCGUUGCUCGGAAUCACUGGCGUAAAGCGCACGUAGGCGGAUUGUUAAGUCAGGGUGAAUCCUGGAGCUCAACUCCAGAACUGCCUUGAUACUGGCGAUCUCGAGUCCGGGAGAGGUGAGUGGAACUGCGAGUGUAGAGGUGAAAUCGUAGAUAUUCGCAAGAACACCAGUGGCGAAGGCGGCUCACUGGCCCGGUACUGACGCUGACGGU